UACGUAGGGUGCGAGCGUUAAUCGGAAUUACUGGGCGUAAAGUGUGCGCAGGCGGCUCUGCAAGUCGAGUGUGAAAUCCCCGAGCUUAACUUGGGAAUUGCGCUCGAAACUGCGGAGCUUGAGUCCGGGAGAGGUGAGUGGAAUUCCCAGUGUAGCGGUGAAAUGCGUAGAUAUUGGGAGGGACACCGGUGGCGAAGGCGGCUCACUGGACCGGUACUGACGCUGAGACGCGAAAGCCAGGGGAGCAAACGGG
rnacentral:rRNA from 1 species